rnacentral:rRNA from 1 species
GACGAAGGAUGCAAGCGUUAUCCGGAUUCAUUGGGUUUAAAGGGAGCGUAGGCGGACUUAUAAGUCAGUGGUGAAAUCUCCUUGCUUAACAAGGAAACUGCCAUUGAUACUGUAGGUCUUUGAGUACAGUUGCCGUUGGCGGAAUAUGACAUGUAGUGGUGAAAUACUUAGAUAUGUCACAGAACACCGAUUGCGAAGGCAGCUAACGAAGCUGUAACUGACGCUGAGGCUCGAAAGUGCGGGAUCAAACAGG